rnacentral:rRNA from 1 species
CGCUGGCGGCGUGCCUAACACAUGCAAGUCGAACGAGGUCCAAGGAAGCUUGCUUCCUGAAGACCUAGUGGCGAACGGGUGAGUAACACGUGAGAAACCUGCCUCGGAGUGGGGAAUAACUCGGGGAAACUCGAGCUAAUACCGCAUACCUUCACAUGAUCGCAUGGUCGAGUGAAGAAAGAAUUUCGCUCUGAGAGGGUCUCGCGGCCUAUCAGCUUGUUGGUGGGGUAACGGCCUACCAAGGGCAACGACGGGUAGCUGGUUUGAGAGAACGAUCAGCCACACUGGGACUGAGACACGGCCCAGACUCCUACGGGAGGCAGCAGUGGGGAAUCUUGCGCAAUGGGCGAAUGCCUGACGCAGCAACGCCGCGUGCGGGAUGACGGCCUUCGUGGUUGUAAACCGCUUUCAGCAGGGACGAAAAUGACGGUACCUGCAGAAGAAGCCCCGGCUAACUACGUG